rnacentral:rRNA from 1 species
UACGUAGGGUGCGAGCGUUAAUCGGAAUUACUGGGCGUAAAGCGCGUGUAGGCGGCCAGGUAGGUCCGCUGUGAAAACCCGAGGCUCAACCUCGGGACGUCGGCGGAAACCAUUUGGCUAGAGUCCGGAAGAGGAGAGUGGAAUUCCCGGUGUAGCGGUGAAAUGCGCAGAUAUCGGGAAGAACACCCGUGGCGAAGGCGGCUCUCUGGGACGGUACUGACGCUGAGACGCGAAAGCGUGGGGAGCGAACAGG